CGGACGGGUGAGUAACGCGUGGGUAACCUGCCCCAUAGAGGGGGACAACAGCUGGAAACGGCUGCUAAUACCGCAUAGCAGGGAAGAGCGCAUGUCUUUUCCUUCAAAGAUUUAUCGCUAUGGGAUGGACCCGCGUCUGAUUAGCUAGUUGGUAGGGUAACGGCCUACCAAGGCGACGAUCAGUAGCCGGCUUGAGAGAGUGGACGGCCACAUUGGGACUGAGACACGGCCCAGACUCCUACGGAAGGCAGCAG
rnacentral:rRNA from 1 species